rnacentral:rRNA from 1 species
GCAACGGGGCAUGCCCCUAGCUACGGCGAGUGAGGAGAGCGUAGAGAUGCCCAAGAUUGAAAGCUGGCGUCUUCGGCGUCCGCAUUGUAAUCUCAAGAAGUGUUUUCCGCUUCGGACCAAGCCUAAGUCCCCUGGAAAGGGGCAUCAUAGAGGGUGAUAAUCCCGUACAUGGCUUGGAGCGCCCGAGGCUUUGUGAUACGCUUUCUAAGAGUCGAGUUGUUUGGGAAUGCAGCUCAAAAUGGGUGGUAAAUGCCAUCUAAGGCUAAAUAUUGGGGAGAGACCGAUAGCGAACGAGUACAGUGAUGGAAAGAUGAAAAGAACUUUGAAAAGAGAGUUAAACAGUACGUGAAAUUGCCAAAAGGGAAGGGUAGGAGGUCAGAGAUGCGGCCUGGGAUUCAGCCUUGCUUUUGCUUGGUGUUUUUCCCAGAUUGCAGGCCAACGUCGGUUUUGGGCACUGGAGAAGGGUAGGAGGAACGUGGCACCCCUCGGGGUGUGUUAUAGCCUCCUACUGGAUACAGCGACCGAGACCGAGGACAGCAGCGUACUCGCAAGAGCGGGCCUUCGGGCACCUUUACGCUUAGGGCGUUGGCAUAAU